AAACUGUAACGUUGGAAAACUCGAAAGUGCUCUCUUUUAUUUCCUAAACCCUUCUUAUCUGCUCGCAUCAAGUUCAUUCUCUUCUGAAAACCUUUCUCCGCCCCCAUAUUGCUCUAUUCCGAUUUACCGGCUAUCAGCUAGCAUGGGAGACAGAGAUAGGACUAGGGACAGAGACAGAGACAGAGACAGAGACCGAGACCGAGACAGAGAAAGACGCCGAGACAAAGAAGACCGUGAACGCGAUCGUGACCGUGAAAGAGACAGAGCUAGAGACCGCAUCCGGAGCACUCGUUCUCGCACCCGUUCACCUGAUCGCACCCGCAGUGCUCGUUCUCGCACCCGUUCACCUGACCGCACCCGGUCACGGCACACUCGUUCCCGCACUCGCUCUCCUGAACGCUAUCGUUCGCGAUCGCGUUCUCCAGAGUCUCGUUCUCACCGCCGCCAUCGCCACCAGCGUACCCCAUCACCAUCGCCGCCACGAAAGCAUCACCGCCAUGAAACUGAAGACGGCAGAGAAAAGGAACGGGACAGGGAAAGAGAGAGGGAUAGGCAAAGAGCAGCUGUAUCUGAUUUCGUGGAUGGAAUAGCAAGAGAGCAGUUGGAGAAGAUUGGGAAUAAUAAUGAUGGUGAUGGAGAGGGAGAUUUAGAAGGAGGUUUAGUUGAUGAAGAUGAAAUUGAGAUGAUGAAGAAAUUUGGGAUUCCAAUUGGCUUUGAUUCAACAAAAGGGAAACCAGUGCCUGGUGCAGAUGUUAGCGGAGUAAGGGUUGUUACGAAGCGACAGCCUCGGCAAUAUAUGAACCGUAGAGGAGGAUUUAACCGUCCAUUGCCUCCAGAGCGGAAUCGCUAGCCUGGAAUAUGCCAAGAGAGGUUUCUCGCUCUCUUAUGGGAGCAGAAGCAAUGACUGAGAAAAUAGUUGACCUUGCACUUGAUUUUGUUGGCCAUUGCCUCCAGAGUGGAAUCGCUAGCUUGGAGCAUGGCGAGAGAGAACCUUUGAGCAUUAGGUGACUUGAAUGGAAUACCAUUGAAAGACCUUUAAACAGAGCAGUUUGAUUUGGAAAACAUGGUAUUUGGGAUUUGAUGACGGCACCCGGAUGUACCCCAUGACUGCAACCCGAAAUGAUGCUAGCAACUGAAUUUGUAGGCUUCAAUUUAUUUUUUUAACUACCGUUGCAUAUGAAAGUGCUAUGCCUCUGGAUCAUAUUGGCUUAAAUGAGAGAUGUAAUUCAUUUUGUUACUGGAUGUGGAUGCUUUUCUAGCAAGAGCAGCGGUACAUAACCAUUCUGAUGGAUAACUAGCGUAAUGGAGAUAUCAUGCAGAUGUUUUUCUGAUAAUUUUGCAGUAUAUUUUGGGUAUUGUUCUACGGGCAUGAAGAUUAGCUUUCACCUGAGGCGUCACAGAUCGACUGGGUAAGGGUUUGGCACAUUUUUGUGUAAUUUGCAGUUCGUUUUAAUUAUGAUUUUGAAUAUCUUGAAAUCAACCAGAGCCAAAUGAAAGGUUGAUUUGAUAGAUGUUUUAUAUCUGGCACCCUUGUCAAACAAAGUGUUGGUGUUAGUAAAUGGUUGGAUUUGGAUUGAAGAGAUAGAAGAUAUGCCUAAUAUUGUUUC